AGUGCAAUUGUAGGUUAUAUGGUAACUCUAAAGUUGACCAGUUGAGGAACCUCCAGAGUAUUUUCCAAAGUGGCUGCACCAUUUUAUAUUCCCAUCAACAGU
rnacentral:pre_miRNA from 1 species